UUCAGAAGGAGAAAGCAGAGCCCAUUUGUGAGAUCCUGCUAUCACAAAUCCCAAAGUUUGGCCCAAGAUAGAAACCUUUAGAGCUUAUUUGUGAGUGUGGUGCUGUUUCCAGAACAUUAAUGUCUCCACUGUGAGUCUAAAAGGAGAGUGCACUUUGAUUCAUCACUCUGAAACACUUCAAGAUGAUACAGCUAUACUUUCAAUCUCAGCAGGAGAGAAGAGGACACACCUGGAGCAGCCAAUCUGACCUUGGAAAUGGAGACCCUCUACCACUGCAGGCACAGUAGAGACCAUUCUGCACAGUUAAGGGUAGCAGGUGCUCCUUGGGUGUUUAUGAGCACAAUCUUAAAGGAUGUUAAGAUG